rnacentral:ncRNA from 1 species
UGACCUCAGAUCAGGCAAGGCAACCCGCUGAAUUUAAGCAUAUUAAUAAGCGGAGGAAAAGAAACUAACAAGGAUUCCCAUAGUAAUGGCGAAUGAAGCGGGAACAGCUCAAAUUUAAAAUCUCCGUUGCUUGCAACGGCGAAUUGUAGUUUCGAGAAGCACUUUCUCGGCGGAUCCGAGGUCGUCCAAGUUGCUUGGAACAGCACGUCGUAGAGGGUGACAACCCCGUCUGCGGCGAUCUCGGCCGUUCACGAUGUGCUUUCGACGAGUCGGGUUGUUUGGGAAUGCAGCCCAAAAUGGGUGGUAAACUCCAUCUAAAGCUAAAUAUUGGCACGAGACCGAUAGCGAACAAGUACCGUGAGGGAAAGAUGAAAAGCACUUUGAAAAGAGAGUUAAAAAGUACGUGAAACCGUUAAAAGGGAAACGAAUGGGGUUAGCAAUGCGUCGUGCGAGAUUCAGCCGGUGGGUGGGCCAGGCGGGCGGUUGGCGGAUCUGAAUGGACCGCUGCCGUUCGGGUUGGUUUCCCGACCGUCGCACUUCUCGCAGGCGCGCGCCAACG